UACGAAGGGGGCUAGCGUUGCUCGGAAUCACUGGGCGUAAAGCGCACGUAGGCGGAUCUUUAAGUCAGGGGUGAAAUCCUGGAGCUCAACUCCAGAACUGCCUUUGAUACUGGGGAUCUCGAGUCCGGGAGAGGUGAGUGGAACUGCGAGUGUAGAGGUGAAAUUCGUAGAUAUUCGCAAGAACACCAGUGGCGAAGGCGGCUCACUGGCCCGGUACUGACGCUGAGGUGCGAAAGCGUGGGAG
rnacentral:rRNA from 1 species